GUGUGAAUUGCAGAAUCCCGUGAACCAUCGAGUCUUUGAACGCAAGUUAUGCCCGAGGCCACUCGGCCUCAGACAUGCCUGCAUGGGCGUCACUCCCCCUUUCGCUCCCUCAAGGCACCUGCCUCAGGGAUGCAGAGAUUGGCCACCUAUUUUGCAAAUCGAAGGAGAGCAGUUGGCCCAAAUGCAUGUCAAAGUGCGGUGCGACAAGACGUGUGUUGGUUUAGCCGUGUGGUUGAUCGCUAGUCGAUCACCGCGCCCUUGUCAUGCCGCUCGCAGUACGACCCGUGGGACGUAACUUGCCCGCUACGGUGGGCACUCGGACUGCAACCCCAGGUCAGGCGGGACCACCCGCUGAGUUUAAACAUAUCAAUAAGCGAAGGAGAAGAAACUUACGAGGAUUCUGCUAGUAACGGUGAGCGAACCGGGAGUAGCCC
rnacentral:rRNA from 1 species